CACUGGAAUUGAAAUGCAUACAGUUUGUCAGACAGAAAUAUGGGUGUGCUGCAGGAUCUUAGAGUCACUGGAUAGUGAUGGUGCUCAGUCUGUGUUCGGAGCUACGUGGAAGGGGCUGCUGAUUUAGUGGGAAACGGAGGUGCGAAGGGUCUGUCUCAGCCCACGCCGGCUUCAGCAACCCCUUUUAAAAUCUGUUUUCUAAUGCUCUGUCCCUCCAAGAAAGUGGAGAGGCGAGGCCCAGAGAGGAAAACAAAAUUUUCCAGCAUGACAGUAACAGCUGCGCACUGACAGCAGAACAAGGAUACUGCUUCCGGGCUUCCCAUUCCCACCAGGACCCUUCCCCCUAGAGGGUGGCUCGCUCUUGCUUGCCUGCAUUUGGGUCAGGUUGACCCUGGAAGAUGCUUUGGUGAUGCCCAGUGCCUAUGAACGGAGUUCCAGCCCAAGUAUCUUCCUCGUGGUGACAUCCAGUGUGUCCUUCAUCCAAGGACAGUGCUAGAAGACAAAAGAGUGCGGACAGUGACAGCUGUUCUGGAAGGCUCGACUGAGCGCUGGUCCAGCCCUGUAGGAAACAUGCACACAUCAACUCACUCUCUGUCCUGUCACAGCUAUGAAGGAGAUUCCACGACCACCUCCAGGCUGAAAGCAAAUCCACGUACCCCCCCAGACUCGAAGCCAAGUGAAGGCCCUGGUUAACCUACAGAUGAGCUUGUUACCCACUCCAUUUUGCUUCCUUUCUGUGUGGACAGACUUUUCCUAGAGGUGGACUAUUUCUAGGAAUAGCUGAACCCAGGAUGAGUCAACACUUCCUUCCAGAGACUACACGGCAUUCCAGAGAGCUGAGCACAGGAGUCUUGGCUUAUAUACAGAAAAUGACUGAAGAAAGCAAAAUCGAAAAGUAGAUUGGUCACUUCCAUUUUUUUCCUUGUUGGGUUGGGACAGAAUAAUAGAAAACUAACUGACUGGUUAACAUCAAGCUACUUCGGGCAGCUUUUCCUGGUACAUUUAAUGUAAGAGGAAAUGUCAGUAUCAUGCCAGUUAAAACUGAUGUGUCUGGGAGAUGCGGUUGUUCUCCAUAUAAUUCUGAUUUCUACGACAGCCACAUACAGUUUUUAGGUUCCGCUUGGUGAAACAGCUUAGUUUAGCAUGAGUGACUCCAUUUUGAUUUUUAGUGUGGCAUCUUGGGGCCCAGUCCAAAAUAAUUACCUUCUGUAAUUUUUAUUUAACAACAUCCAGACACAGUUUUUGUAUCAUAGAGUACACGAAUUGCACACACUGUAAUCCCACCAUUCAGGAGGCAGAUGCAGGAGGGUCACUAUGAGUUCAAGGCCAGCCUUAGCUACAUAGUGAGAUCUUGUCUCAAAAAGCCAAAAUAAAAAGUUUUAGGUAAGUAUUUUCCCAUCAGCUUUCAGAGCUGCCCCUACUCCAUGUCCUUCCAAAAAUCUUGGCUUGUUAGAUUUUUAAAAUUUUGUCAGUUAGAUGAGUGUGAAGUGGUAUAAAUAUAUUUUAACUCUUCUUAAUGAAAAAUUCCAAGCAUUUAUACAAUAGUGAGAAUAAUAUAAUGAAUUUCUACAUCUCUGUCAUAUAAUUCACCAAUUAUCAAUGCUUACUGAUUUUGUUCCUGUAUAACCUUACCAUUAUUUUGAACCUUUUCAGUAUAUAUUUUUAAAAGAUGAGAAUCCUCCCUUGCUUUUUUUGUUAUUAUUAGAGAUCAAACCCAGAGCUCCAAACAUGUUGAACAUCUGUGCUCACCACGGAGCUACAUCCAGCCUGAUUCUCCUUUUUAAACCUAACUACAAUACAUCAUCAAAGACUCCCGAAUGUCAGGAAUAAAUUUGUAAAUAUUAUCAAAUAUUCAAGUAGUAUUCACAUUGUCUCAAUUACCCUACUUCAUUAUUUUUAUACUUGAUUGAAUUAUAAUUGUGAUUGGUUAAUAUUUAUCUUAAAUUUCUUCUAACCCAUAAAUACCGCUUCCAUUUCUCCCCCACCCCCCAUCUCGAAAUUCAUUAGUUAAGUAAAUCAGGUUAUUUUCCUGGCAGUAUUCUCCCAGUUUGGAUUUUACUUGUUAUUGUCCCCAUGGUGUCCUUUUGCCUGUUCCUCAGUUCCUAUAAAUGUGUAGUCAGAUCGGGAAUAGGGGUUUGGCAAAUCAUGCAUCAUAGCUUCACUGUUUUUUGUGUUGUUUGGUUUGUUUUGAAAUGAGAUUUUGCUAGAACACAGUCAUGCCCAUUUGUUUCACUUUUGUUUAGGACUGAAUUGUUGCAGUAGAGACUGCAUAACAGCAAAGCCUAAAGUACCUGGCCCUUUCGGUGAUUUUGUAGUUCUUUGUUUUUGUUUUUGUUUUUCUUUUUUAGUCAAUCCAUUCUUUUUCUGGAGUGGGGGGGAUGCUUGCUAGAGAGCUUGGUUGCCAGAGGCACUGUUUUUACUGGAAAGACAGAAUAAAUACUUGAUUGUUUCUCUUUCACUUACCAGUUUUCAAAAUACCCAAUUGAUUUCCUUCUAAAGUAGAUCACUGAGGUUGUGUAUGUAAAUGAACCUAAGGAUUUGAAUAUAUUUGAUGAUUUUCAUCCUACUGAAAUUAUUUUCUUUACUGGUGCUCAGAUUGUUGACUUUGGCCAACGAGAGUCUCUUCAGGUCCCUCUGACACAAUUCUGUCCUAGAUUUGUGGCUAUGGAAAAUAGUACAUUUUCAGCCCCAAAGCCCAAUGAGCUGUUCAUUUUUCAAGGAAAAUAAUACUGAGAGCCACUCAUAGUGCACUCUGCUCACUAAAGGUCUGGCCUUUGUUUAUAGACCCGGAAAGAAGUGACAGAAAGAAUAGGCAUGGUUAUCUGGUCGCUCUUCGGAUCAGCUACCUUAAAAAUUCAUACUACAACUUCUGAUUGAAAUCUGGGAUUAAGGGUUGGGGUGCAGCUCAGUGGUAAAGUACUUGCUCAUCCCUACAGAAAAAAAAUCCAGCAUUAUUUUUUAUCGGUACGUUUUAGAUACACAUCAUGAUCACAUUCAUCAUAGGGAAUUUGUACUUGUACGUGACAUAUCCCACUUCUUUUAUUCCCAUGCCCCUCCCCUCCCUUCCACCACUCCUUAUUUACAAGAGCUUUGUUUCCAAGAAAUCCAGAACUGUAAGGUUUUUGUGUAACUCCUUUCCUGUUUUAUCUGCAAACCCUUCAUCCCCAAAGUCCUGAUCUAAAACAAUACCCGCGUCACUGCUGUGCUUUAUCCCAUGCCAUUCACCACCCGUCUCAGAAUAACAAGGGCAAACCUACGAGGAGCGAUACAGUGACCAGAAACAGCCAGCUGUUUUUUUACAAUCCAAGGAAAAAAACCUCUGAAAGUGAAGGUGGGAAGGGAUUGAGCCACCAGGGUCUGCUGACAAUUUGCACUGCUGCUAAAACUGUAAAUACUGCAUUCUGUCGGUCGAGAUUUUGUUCUUCCUUGUAGUAAACUCCUAGGAUCAUAGCCCUUGCUCUCUGAGUGCUUACAUGGGCCCAGAGUGGAGGAGGUAUGGGGUCACAGCAGUGUGGGCUGGCAGAAUUCAGUUUCUCCCCCUAAUAUAUGAGGGUAAGGGCAGGAAGGAGAACAUUACAGAAAGGAGUCUUGGGCAAGUUAAGUCACCUCCCUGAAUGACUUCCUUCUGUAUUAAAAAAGGGAGUACAGGGAUUUUGUGGUGUGGAUUUUGGCCACAGCAGCUUACUCUGUGUUUUCCGAACACAUCUGCCCCUGGGCCCUUUCUCUUGGUCCAGCUUUUCGAUCAUUGUAGAUCACCUUCCCAAUCACCUCCAUGAAGUGGGCCUGCCUGACCACAUAAGCAAAAAUAUUCAUAUCUCGGGCCAGGGAUUUAGCUCAGUGGUUCCACCACCUGCCUCUCAAGUAC